CAGCCGCCGCGGGAAUACGUAGGUCCCGAGCGUUGUCCGGAUUUAUUGGGCGUAAAGCGAGCGCAGGCGGUUUGAUAAGUCUGAAGUUAAAGGCUGUGGCUCAACCAUAGUUCGCUUUGGAAACUGUCAAACUUGAGUGCAGAAGGGGAGAGUGGAAUUCCAUGUGUAGCGGUGAAAUGCGUAGAUAUAUGGAGGAACACCGGUGGCGAAAGCGGCUCUCUGGUCUGUAACUGACGCUGAGGCUCGAAAGCGUGGGGAGCGAACAGGAUUAGAUACCCGCGUAGUCCCUGUCUCUUAUACA
rnacentral:rRNA from 1 species